UACGUAGGGUGCAAGCGUUGUCCGGAAUUAUUGGGCGUAAAGAGCUCGUAGGCGGCUCAGUAAGUCGGGUGUGAAAACUCCAGGCUCAACCUGGAGACGCCACCUGAUACUGCUGUGGCUAGAGUCCGGUAGGGGAGCAUGGAAUUCCUGGUGUAGCGGUGAAAUGCGCAGGAUAUCAGGAGGAACACCAGUGGCGAAAGGCGGUGCUCUGGGCCGGAACUGACGCUGAGGAGCGAAAGCGUGGGGAGCAAACAGG
rnacentral:rRNA from 1 species